CUGUAGGCGGCCAACUAAGUCACACGUGAAAUCCCCAGGCUUAACCUGGGAACUGCGUGUGAUACUGGAUGGCUUGAAUUCGGGAGAGGGAUGCAGAAUUCCAGGUGUAGCGGUGAAAUGCGUAGAUAUCUGGAGGAAUACCGGUGGCGAAGGCGGCAUCCUGGACCGACAUUGACGCUGAGGAGCGAAAGCUAGGGGAGCAAC
rnacentral:rRNA from 1 species